GCCCUCCAGGUGUUUUGGGACUACAACUCCCAUCAUCCCUAGCUAACAGGACCAGUGGUCAGGGAUAAUGGGACUUGUAGUCCCAAAACAUCUGGAGGGC
rnacentral:miRNA from 1 species